rnacentral:rRNA from 1 species
UAGUAACUGCGAGUGAAGAGGGAAGAGCUCAAAUUUAAAAUCUGGUGGUUCUUGUAACCAUCCGAGUUGUAAUUUAGAGAAGUGUUACCCGCGCUGGACCGUGUACAAGUCUCCUCGAACGGAGCAUCAUAGAGGGUGAGAAUCCCGUAUAUGACACGGACUCCCAGGGCUUUGUGGUGCGCUCUCAACGAGUCGAGUUGUUUGGGAAUGCAGCUCUAAAUGGGUGGUAAAUUCCAUCUAAAGCUAAAUAUAGGCGAGAGACCGAUAGCGAACAAGUACCGUGAGGGAAAGAUGAAAAGAACUUUGGAAAGAGAGUUAAACAGUACGUGAAAUUGUUGAAAGGGAAACGCUUGAAGUCAGUCGCGUCUCUCAGAGAUCAACCUGGCCUUUUCGCUUGGUGCACUCUCUGUGGGAUGGGUCAGCAUCAAUUUUGACUGGGGGAAAAAGUUGGUGGGGAUGUGGCACCCUUGUGGUGUGUUAUAACCUGCUUGCAUAUACCUCUGUUGGGAUUGAGGAACUCAGCACGCCUAAAGGCCGGACUUUAGUCACGUACGUGCUUAGGAUGCUGGCAUAAUGUCUUCAAUCGACCCGUCUUGAAACACGGACCAAGGAGUCUAACAUGCGCGCGAGUGUUUGGGUGAAAAACCCAAGUGCAUAAUGAAAGUGAAAGUUGAGACCUCUGUCGUGGAGGGCAUCGACGCCCGGAUCAGAUCUUUUGGGACGAUUCCGAGGUAGAGCGUGCACGUUGGGACCCGAAAGAUGGUGAACUAUGCUUGAAUAGGGUGAAGCCAGAGGAAACUCUGGUGGAGGCUCGUAGC